CCAGGAAAGUUAAUUAUAACAUUUAGGUCGUGACCCUAAAAAUAAGAGCAUCUCUUCUUGGCC
rnacentral:tRNA from 1 species